rnacentral:rRNA from 1 species
CCUACGGGAGGCAGCAGUGGGGAAUAUUGCACAAUGGGGGAAACCCUGAUGCAGCAACGCCGCGUGAAGGAAGACGGUUUUCGGAUUGUAAACUUCUGUUCUUAGUGAAGAAUAAUGACGGUAGCUAAGGAAUAAGCCACGGCUAACUACGUGCCAGCAGCCGCGGUAAUACGUAGGUGGCAAGCGUUAUCCGGAUUUACUGGGUGUAAAGGGCGUGUAGGCGGGGAAGCAAGUCAGAUGUGAAAACCACGGGCUCAACCUGUGGCCUGCAUUUGAAACUGUUUUUCUUGAGUACUGGAGAGGCAGACGGAAUUUCUAGUGUAGCGGUGAAAUGCGUAGAUAUUAGGAGGAACACCAGUGGCGAAGGCGGUCUGCUGGACAGCAACUGACGCUGAGGCGCGAAAGCGUGGGGAGCAAACAGGAUUAGAUACCCUAGUAGUC